UUUUAAAAGCAACAAGUUUAAUGUCAGUUGCUUUAUAAAACCUUAUAAAUUGUUACAUUUAUCAAGUUUUAUAUAUGAUGCAAUAUUAAAAUUACUCGUUUUCUGGCCAAAACACAUCUAAAACAUUUAUAUUAAAAUAAUAUUUAAAAAACAUACUGAUUUACAUUCAUCUUUAAAGUUAACUUCCUAUUCAGUACUCAAAGUUCAGUGGCCGAUUGUGCCUUUAAUCAGUCAAUCACGCCCAGACCACGCCCACUGUAGUCCAGAAUUACGUCACCCCUUCUAGAGAUGAGGAGAGUAAUCCUAGAUGGUUCUCGGUCCAGUAAGUGAUGCUCUGGGCCUCCAUCCCCUCCUCCCCGCUCCUUCUCCUCCUCCACCUUGACUGCUUCAAAAGAGCCUCGUCCACGUCUUUGUUUCACCGAGCGCGCGUGUUCGCCUUUCUGUGCAGGAAUGCGCGUUCAUAAAAGACUGAAGGAAAAAUAUCACUGAAGCAUUACAGCAUUACAGUGAAAUCACAACAUUAUCAGGACAGUUUUAGGCAGCAGCCUGAUGAGCGAAUGGAUGAUAUGACGGUGGACAGGAGUCAAAAGGAUAAAUAACAGAGAUGUGACCAUACCUCGCUGAGGCCCAGGUCAUCCAGGAGCUGUCGGUCCCUCUCAUCAUCUCCUCCAGUGUGGACAAAGAGCCGGUCCAAAGGAGCAUCUGCCAGCAGCACCACCC